CGCCCAGCCACUUACAAAUUAUUUCUUUUUUAUUAUUUCUGUCUCAUACCUCUCCCGAAUCCUCUCACGGAAUGCCGCCAAGAGAUUCCCCACCCUUCUCUCUUCACCCAAAAUCCUCAGAUAAAACGAGAUCUUCUUUCCUUCGCAGCGAAGCAGAGAAAACCCGCCAUGCUCCGAUUAGGGUUCCGGUCUCUGCUCCCCUCCCCACCCCUCCACGCCGACGCCCUCCGCCGGCGCCGCCGGGAGCCCGGCCUGCCUUCUCGGGAGCCCAGGAGACGCCCCGGCGGGAGGAGGGGACGGCGGUCGGGGCCUGGGACGGUGGGGAAGGCUCCGAUGAGGGCGGUGCUGAGCGUGGAGGGGCCGGUGGAGAGGGUCGCGAGAGGCGACGGGAGGGAAGAGGAGUAUGAUGCGAUCGUGAUCGGGUCCGGGAUUGGGGGCCUGGUGGCAGCCACGCAGCUGGCGGUGAAGGGGGCGAGGGUUCUGGUGCUGGAGAAGUACCUGAUUCCGGGAGGGAGCUCCGGGUAUUACGAGAGGGAUGGCUUUACCUUCGAUGUGGGCUCGUCGGUCAUGUUCGGGUUUGGCGACAAGGGCAACCUAAACUUAAUUACGCAAGCAUUAGCAGCAGUUGGGUGUACGAUGCAGGUGAUACCUGACCCUACAACUGUUCACUUCCAUUUACCAGGCGGACUUUCUGUUCUUGUGCACAGAAAUUACAAUGAGUUCAUUAGACAGCUUAUUAGUAAGUUCCCUCAUGAAAAGGAAGGGAUCCUGAAAUUUUACAGUGAAUGUUGGAGGAUCUUUAAUGCCUUAAAUUCGUUGGAGCUAAAGUCACUUGAGGAGCCUAUCUACCUUUUUGGACAAUUUUUUAAGAAGCCUUCGGAGUGCUUGACUCUUGCUUAUUAUUUGCCUCAAAAUGCUGGGGAUAUAGCUCGAAAGUUUAUAAAAGAUCCUCAACUGUUGUCCUUCAUAGAUGCUGAAUGUUUCAUAGUGAGCACAGUCAAUGCUCUGCAUACUCCAAUGAUCAAUGCAAGCAUGGUUUUAUGUGACAGACAUUUUGGAGGGAUCAAUUACCCAGUUGGUGGUGUUGGUGGUAUUGCAAAGGCUUUGGCAAAUGGCCUUGUUGAAAAGGGCAGUAAAAUACUUUACAAGGCAUAUGCGACUAGAAUUAUUCUUGAACAUGGAAGGGCUGUUGGAGUGAGACUUUCAGAUGGAAGGGAGUUCUUUGCCAAAACAGUGAUAUCAAAUGCUACUAGAUGGGACACAUUUGGAAAACUUGUGAAAGUGGAUGAUCUUCCAGAAGAAGAGAAAAAUUUUCAAAGAAUUUAUGUUAAGGCACCAUCUUUUCUUUCCAUUCACAUGGGAGUCAAAGACACAGUUGUACCUCCUAAUACAGAUUGCCACCAUUUCAUUCUUGAGGAUGACUGGGCUAACUUAGAGAAGCCCUAUGGAAGCAUUUUUCUGAGUAUCCCAACGGUUCUUGAUUCAUCUUUGGCUCCAGAAGGACAUCAUGUUUUUCACAUUUUUACAACAUCUUGCAUGGAGGAUUGGAAGGGCCUUUCUCACAGAGACUAUGAAGAGAAGAAGGAGCUUGUAGCUAAUAAAAUUAUCAGCAGGCUUGAGAAUAAACUCUUUCGAGGUCUCAAAAGCUCUAUAGUGCUUAAAGAGGUGGGUACACCCAAAACUCACAGGAGAUUUCUUGCUCGGGAUGAUGGUACCUAUGGACCAAUUCCACGUAGUAUACCAAAAGGUUUAUUGGGAAUGCCUUUUAAUACAACAGCUAUAGAUGGUCUCUACUGUGUUGGGGAUAGCUGCUUUCCUGGACAAGGAGUUAUAGCUGUUGCCUUUUCAGGAGUCAUGUGUGCUCAUAGAGUUGCUGCAGAUAUUGGGCUCGAAAAAAGGUCUGCAGUAUUGGAUGCUGCUCUUCUUCGGCUGCUUGGGUGGUUGAGGAAAAUGGCGUAAGAAAAGGAUUCAACAUCACUUGUGGCUUGAUAUAUUUUUUUCAGUGUGAUUGAACCCUAGCUUCUUCUGAUAGCACACGAGGUUAUUCUUUAAGUUUAUGGGAGGUCAUAUGAGUGCUGGGUCGGCCAAUUUUGUCAUGGAGCAAUUGAGAUCAUAGAGCUGAUAGGUCAGUGGCACUUAUUAGUGAUCUAUGAAGUUGAAGGAGGUAGUCUUGCAGCUUGGGGGUUUAAUCCUUCAAACUUGAAAGCUCUUGGGAAUUGUUGGCUUCAUCUUUCAAGCAUGAUCUGACAUUUGUAAUUACUAAUUCAGUAUUGUAAUCAAGAAGUUAGCUAUUAUCCUUCAAAAUUAAUGUUGAAAUGUACUCAUUGAUAUAAAAAGGAAUCCUCACAAUUUGUACUGUAAAUGGAAACAGAAACAGUAUUGUUUCUUCAGUUAUAAAAAAAUUAAGCUGUCCGUUAUGCAUA